GGCGGCAGGCCUAACACAUGCAAGUCGAACGGUAACAGAAAGCAGCUUGCUGCUUUGCUGACGAGUGGCGGACGGGUGAGUAAUGUCUGGGAAACUGCCCGAUGGAGGGGGAUAACUACUGGAAACGGUAGCUAAUACCGCAUAACGUCGCAAGACCAAAGAGGGGGACCUUCGGGCCUCUUGCCAUCGGAUGUGCCCAGAUGGGAUUAGCUAGUAGGUGGGGUAACGGCUCACCUAGGCGACGAUCCCUAGCUGGUCUGAGAGGAUGACCAGCCACACUGGAACUGAGACACGGUCCAGACUCCUACGGGAGGCAGCAGUGGGGAAUAUUGCACAAUGGGCGCAAGCCUGAUGCAGCCAUGCCGCGUGUAUGAAGAAGGCCUUCGGGUUGUAAAGUACUUUCAGCGGGGAGGAAGGGAGUAAAGUUAAUACCUUUGCUCAUUGACGUUACCCGCAGAAGAAGCACCGGCUAACUCCGUGCCAGCAGCCGCGGUAAUACGGAGGGUGCAAGCGUUAAUCGGAAUUACUGGGCGUAAAGCGCACGCAGGCGGUUUGUUAAGUCAGAUGUGAAAUCCCCGGGCUCAACCUGGGAACUGCAUCUGAUACUGGCAAGCUUGAGUCUCGUAGAGGGGGGUAGAAUUCCAGGUGUAGCGGUGAAAUGCGUAGAGAUCUGGAGGAAUACCGGUGGCGAAGGCGGCCCCCUGGACGAAGACUGACGCUCAGGUGCGAAAGCGUGGGGAGCAAACAGGAUUAGAUACCCUGGUAGUCCACGCCGUAAACGAUGUCGACUUGGAGGUUGUGCCCUUGAGGCGUGGCUUCCGGAGCUAACGCGUUAAGUCGACCGCCUGGGGAGUACGGCCGCAAGGUUAAAACUCAAAUGAAUUGACGGGGGCCCGCACAAGCGGUGGAGCAUGUGGUUUAAUUCGAUGCAACGCGAAGAACCUUACCUGGUCUUGACAUCCACGGAAGUUUUCAGAGAUGAGAAUGUGCCUUCGGGAACCGUGAGACAGGUGCUGCAUGGCUGUCGUCAGCUCGUGUUGUGAAAUGUUGGGUUAAGUCCCGCAACGAGCGCAACCCUUAUCCUUUGUUGCCAGCGGUCCGGCCGGGAACUCAAAGGAGACUGCCAGUGAUAAACUGGAGGAAGGUGGGGAUGACGUCAAGUCAUCACGGCCCUUACGACCAGGGCUACACACGUGCUACAAUGGCGCAUACAAAGAGAAGCGACCUCGCGAGAGCAAGCGGACCUCAUAAAGUGCGUCGUAGUCCGGAUUGGAGUCUGCAACUCGACUCCAUGAAGUCGGAAUCGCUAGUAAUCGUGGAUCAGAAUGCCACGGUGAAUACGUUCCCGGGCCUUGUACACACCGCCCGUCACACCAUGGGAGUGGGUUGCAAAAGAAGUAGGUAGCUUAACCUUCAGGGGGGCGCUUACCACUUUGUGAUU
rnacentral:rRNA from 1 species